UCGGAGUGAAGCGGGGAGUAAAAUAAAAAAACAGAGCCUGUCCGACAUCAGACAGACCCUACAACACACAGCAGUGCUUCCCUUCGCAGAUCCUGAAUGUUAUCUCCGUGAAGCAGGUUUAUUUAAUUAUAACAGCCCACCCUCAAAAAGAUAUGUUUUAGCAUCAUUGAUUCCA
rnacentral:misc_RNA from 1 species